rnacentral:rRNA from 1 species
UACGUAGGGUGCAAGCGUUAAUCGGAAUGAUUGGGCGUAAAGCGUCCGCAGGUGGCAGUUCAAGUCUGCUGUCAAAGACCGGGGCUUAACUUCGGAAAGGCAGUGGAAACUGAACAGCUAGAGUAUGGUAGGGGCAGAGGGAAUUCCUGGUGUAGCGGUGAAAUGCGUAGAGAUCAGGAAGAACAUCGGUGGCGAAGGCGCUCUGCUGGACCAUAACUGACACUCAGGGACGAAAGCUAGGGGAGCGAAUGGG